GAGUUUGAUCCUGGCUCAGGAUGAACGUUGGCGGCGUGCCUAACACAUGCAAGUCGAACGAAAAACCGAAUUCUUAGGAAAUCGGCGGAUUAGUGGCGCACGGGUGAGUAACACGUAGGUGACCUGCCCCGAAGCGGGGGAUAACCACUAGAAAUGGUGGCUAAUACCGCAUGUGCUUAACCAUUCGUUUGGUUAAGUAAAACUCAGGUGCUUCGGGAGGGGCCUGCGGUCGAUUAGUUAGUUGGUGAGGUAAUGGCUCACCAAGACGAUAAUCGAUAGGGGGCGUGAGAGCGUGACCCCCCACACUGGAACUGAGACACGGUCCAGACUCCUACGGGAGGCAGCAGUGAGGAAUAUUGCACAAUGGGCGAAAGCCUGAUGCAGCAACGCCGCGUGGGGGACGAAGGCCUUCGGGUCGUAAACCCCUUUUCUGUGGGAAGAGAAAGGACGGUACCACAGGAAUAAGUCUCGGCUAACUACGUGCCAGCAGCCGCGGUAAAACGUAGAGGCGAACGUUAUCCGGAAUUACUGGGCGUAAAGCGCGCGCAGCGGCUUCGUAAGUUCGACGUGAAAGCUCCCGGCUUAACUGGGAGAGGUCGUUGAAAACUGCGGAGCUUGAGUUGGGAGAGGGAAGCGGAAUUUCCCGGUGUAGUGGUGGAAUGCGUAGAUAUCGGGAGACUCCAGUGCGAAGCGCCUCCUGGCCUACACCUGACGCUGAGCGCGAAGGCGUGGGGGGAGCGACAGAUAGAUACCCCUGUAGUCCCACGCUGUAACGAUGUGAACUAGGUG
rnacentral:rRNA from 1 species